GCUCCCGUAGCUCAGCUGGAUAGAGCAGCUGCCUUCUAAGCAGCUGGUCGCAGGUUCGAAUCCUGCCGGGAGCG
rnacentral:tRNA from 1 species